GAUUCAGUUCUCAAUUCGGGCUUCAAAAAACAAGCAUCAGGGGAACUGGAGCUGGAGGGAGCUAAGCUGGCUGGAGAUGAUUUGCAUUUAAAGAGAAAGUAGCCCUCUUUGGAUUCCCUGGGAGCGGAGCCGGAGGAGAGUACUUCCGUCGAUUUAACAGUUCCCCUUCCCUACCUCCCACAAGAACUAAAGGAGCACUGUUAGUUACGGGAUAUGGAUUUAAAAUCAUUUCCUUUUCUUGUCACGUUUGGAGGGGAUCCCUUACAAAAUGGUGGUGGCUUUGUUUGCAGCAGGGGUGGUAGGGAAAUGAUGGGGCUAAAUGAAUGUGUGGGCAGAGGCAAUAUAUAAGUAUACGGGAAAAUGAGGGGCGGACACCAGAAGGAACAAAGACAAUCAGUACCCAGCACCCUGUUAAGCCUUUUAUGUACAUUCAAUCCUGAGACAUAACUGUUAUCCCGAUUUUACGGAAAAUAAUCAAUUGUCACUCAUUCCUGGGCACGGUCGCUGUCCUGUGACAUCCAGAUACUCCUAGCCUGUAAGCGCUGAAGAACUGACAGGGCCUCUCCC
rnacentral:lncRNA from 1 species